rnacentral:rRNA from 1 species
UUUGCAGAGGGCGCUUUGGCUUUGGCAGCGGUCCAAGUUCCUUGGGACAGGACGUCACAGAGGGUGAGAAUCCCGUACGUGGUCGCUAGCUAUUGCCGUGUAAAGCCCCUUCGACGAGUCGAGUUGUUUGGGAAUGCAGCUCUAAAUGGGAGGUAAAUUUCUUCUAAAGCUAAAUAUUGGCCAGAGACCGAUAGCGCACAAGUAGAGUGAUCGAAAGAUGAAAAGCACUUUGGAAAGAGAGUCAAACAGCACGUGAAAUUGUUGAAAGGGAAGCGCUUGCAGCCAGACUUGCUUGCAGUUGCUCAUCCGGGCUUUUGCCCGGUGCACUCUUCUGCAGGCAGGCCAGCAUCAGUUUGGGCGGUGGGAUAAAGGUCUCUGACACGUUCCUUCCUUCGGGUUGGCCAUAUAGGGGAGACGUCAUACCACCAGCCUGGACUGAGGUCCGCGCAUCUGCUAGGAUGCUGGCGUAAUGGCUGUAAGCGGCCCGUCUUGAAACACGGACCAAGGAGUCUAACAUCUAUGCGAGUGUUUGGGUGUCAAGCCCGAGCGCGUAAUGAAAGUGAACGGAGGUGGGAACCCGCAAGGGUGCACCAUCGACCGAUCCUGAAGUUUACGGAAGGAUUUGAGUAAGAGCAUGGCUGUUGGGACCCGAAAGAUGGUGAACUAUGCUUGAAUAGGGUGAAGCCAGAGGAAACUCUGGUGGAGGCUCGCAGCGGUUCUGACGUGCAAAUCGAUCGUCAAAUUUGGGGCAUAGGGGCGAAAGACUAAUCGAACUAUCUAGUAGCUGGUUCCUGCCGAGC